rnacentral:rRNA from 1 species
GUGCCAGCAGCCGCGGUAAUACGUAGGGGGCCAGCGUUGCUCGGAAUUACUGGGCGUAAAGGGUUCGUAGGUGGUGCGGCAAGUUGGAAGUGAAAUCUCUGGGCUUAACCCAGAGGCUGCUUUCAAAACUGCCGUGCUCGAGUGCGAGAGAGGCCAGUGGAAUUGCAGGUGUAGCGGUGAAAUGCGUAGAUAUCUGCAGGAACACCCGUGGCGAAGGCGGCUGGCUGGAUCGCAACUGACACUGAGGAACGAAAGCUAGGGGAGCAAACAGGAUUAGAUACCCUGGUAGUCCUAGCCCUAAACCAUCGGAACUUGGGGUGGCCCGCGUAGGCGGGUCGUCCCGUAGCUAACGCGUUAAGUUCCGCGCCUGGGGAGUACGGUCGCAAGACUGAA